rnacentral:lncRNA from 15 species
UCUGAAUCGCUAGGUUUUAGCGCCUGUCUCUUUAAGACCCCCCUCCCGAAAAGCCCAGUCUGCUCUGAUAGGACGGCAUUAUGACGCGGAUUAUGCGGCUCACGCGGAUGACGCUCCGGCCCCUCCCCUUCGUUGCCGGCUCCUCACUGCUACUGAGAUUAGCUUCAUUUCUACCGUCAAUAUUAAUUCAAUAACUGCUUCUAAAGCAAAAACUUCACCAGCGGACAUGUUAGAGCGGGAGUCUGACCUGAAAUCACAGAGAAAUGAACAACUUCAACAAUCAGGAUUACAGCUUUCUGUGACGUUUUCCUCAGGUACAGCAGUGAGCAGUGACCUACAAUCUACACAGCCCAGUGAAGUUAAACAUAUUAUAUAUUACAUAAUAUUAACAGCAUUAGUCAAGCAGUUGUUUCUAGUGAAGAAACACCCAGUAAAUGUACCAAAGUAAUCAGAGUAAUAGUAUAAUGAUUACUGUAACCUCCCAUCUGUUAUAUUCUUUAUACACAUUAGUUUACUGAGACCAUGGAAACAGAAACCUGGAAUACUUUAUCCUGUACAACAUGUCAACAUAACUGAAGCAAUUACUCAUCUAAUAAAGUAAAUUGUUUAUGUGGUUUAAAAACAGCUAAGUAACCAACUGUUAACGGUACUGUAGCCAUAUUUCAUAGUCUGAUAUUUUAACUUAAAAGUAUUAUUACCAAAGUUAACCUUCAGAUAUGUGUAAAAGCUGCAAUUAUGUUUGAACCCCAUUAAAAAUACUGUAUACUGAAUAUUCUAUCAAUUAUAUUAUAUACUGUAUUAUGAUUAUGAAUUUAUCUUCCAAUGUAAUAAAGUUUGAAUGUGAGACAGUAAUGUAUUGUGUUGCUUACAGUCAUUAAUACAGGUUUAAGUUCCACAUUUUCAUAUUGAUAGAUGUUACACGAAUCAGGUUUUCAACUCUUGUACAUCCAGGAAAUCUUCAUAAAACCUGAAAUAACAUGUUAUUUAUAUAAAACCACACUUAUUACUGAAUUUAAAAAUGACCAAAACUCUUUUUAAAAGUAAAACACUUUAUUUAUGUUACUUCAUAUUCCAGUUACACAUGUUGUAAGUAACAAAGCUAGAACUUUUAUGUAAGCUGUGCAGAUCAUGUUCUCCAUCAAGGUUUAUGGUUUCUAGUAUAUUGAAGUGUGAGCUGGUAAUGGAGCUCUGCAGUCAGUGUUCAUCUUCAUCAGUCUUCCUUUGGAUACCCAGACUGUCCUGAUGCUGCAGCCGUCUCUGUCCUCUGAUGGGUCCAGGAGCACCUGAGCUUCAUCAGGUCACCCAUAAAACAAGGCAGAUUCAGUGUUACUUGUAAGGCAGCAUAUAAUAUACAGUGUAAUAUAAUACAGUACAAUUACAACAGCUCAUUGUGGCACAAAGUAGUCCUAAGUUAUAAACUAAAAUAAUAAGCAGUGUCUCUGGUGGUUCCUUGUUGCAGCUAACUGUAGUGAUGUGUUGUUGAAACAGUCUGAGGUUACAAACACAAUGUCUAUCUAAUGGCAGCAGAUACACACACAGGACAUUUACUGACUGUAACUGAUGUUGUAAGUUCCCGGUGCAAUAACAGACAUUUAACAGUGAGGCUCUGUGUUUAUAAUACAAUAGGAGAUUAUAUGAGUAUAGGAUGUUACACUGGACCUACACUUAUAUCGUCAGUAAUAGCAGUACUUCAGUAACACAAAAUAAAUGGAUCAGAAACUUUUAUUCGUCGGUUUGACUCCACAUAAAGCCUAGCGAGCAACCCCAGCUGCUGGGUGCUAAUCAAAGUUACAGAAUAUUACUAAACUAAUGAAUCCCUGCAGUUUGACUGUUUCUCUCUCACUGUAGCUCUAGUGUUAACUCUGGUGCACGUUGAUCAAGUUCAUUUACACACGUAACACACACACACACACACACACACACACACACCUGAACGAAGCAGAGAAACAACAAAGCUAGCGCUAGCUGAGAUAACGUUAGCACGUCAGUAUAAAGUUACACAAUAAUCACCAUAACUCACUCUCUGUAUUCUGUUAGCUUCUAAGGAGGCUUGAUCACAGUUUGACUAUUUCUCUCUCACAGUAGCUCUAUCUUUACCUCCGGUACAUUUACACACACACACACACACACACACACACACACAGAGCGGAGCAGGACAAUGGCUCCGGACUAACAAAGCUAGCGCUAGCUCAGCGAGCUAACAGCUGAUGAGCAGCUACAGCUUGUUCACUCGGAGGUUUUCUGCUCUUUCUAACAGCGACACACAAACAUAUUACUGACUCAGCACGUUUAACUAAAUACAGAUCAACGUAAAGCCAAUUACCCCCGGACACAAAACCCACAACAGUUACGGAGUAACGGAGUCCCCCCCCCCCCCCCGCACGAAGCUUGGUGCUUCACGACAUAAUCUUUGUGUGAAUCUCUAUAAAAAUAUCAGCAGGGGAGAAUAUGGAGACAUCUGCACCAGCUGCUUAAUAAAUUAACUUCACCUUAUAAGUUUCAUGUUCAUCUUGCACACAUUUAACAAACAUUUAACAAACAUUUAACAAACAAUAACUACGUUAGCAUCACUGAGGCUCCUGCAGCUAACAGCGGUUAGCAUGUGCUAGCAGUACACGAACAAUGAAAAACAGCAUCAAUUGUUAAAAAUCCUUCCAGUUUCUUCCUCUGCCUUCUCUCCACAGACAGUUGGUACAAUCCCUCU